rnacentral:rRNA from 1 species
GGUCAAGAGAGGUAAGGGCGCAUGGUGGAUGCCAUAGGCACCUGGAGCCGAAGAAGGACGCGGCAAGCGGCGAAACGCCCCGGGGAGCCGCAAGCGGGCAGAGAUCCGGGGAUUUCCGAAUGGGGGAACCCGCUUGGGGUAAUACCCAAGCAUCCGCUGAUGAAUCCAUAGUCAGCGGAGGGGAACCGGGCGAACUGAAACAUCUAAGUAGCCCGAGGAAAAGAAAGCAAAAGCGAUUCCCCGAGUAGCGGCGAGCGAAAGGGGAGAAGCCCAAACCUACCGCUUAGGCGGUAGGGGUUCGGGCCCACCGAAAGGUGUGU